rnacentral:rRNA from 1 species
GUCUUGACAUCCACAGAACUUAGCAGAGAUGCUUUGGUGCCUUCGGGAACUGUGAGACAGGUGCUGCAUGGCUGUCGUCAGCUCGUGUUGUGAAAUGUUGGGUUAAGUCCCGCAACGAGCGCAACCCUUAUCCUUUGUUGCCAGCGGUCCGGCCGGGAACUCAAAGGAGACUGCCAGUGAUAAACUGGAGGAAGGUGGGGAUGACGUCAAGUCAUCAUGGCCCUUACGACCAGGGCUACACACGUGCUACAAUGGCAUAUACAAAGAGAAGCGACCUCGCGAGAGCAAGCGGACCUCAUAAAGUAUGUCGUAGUCCGGAUUGGAGUCUGCAACUCGACUCCAUGAAGUCGGAAUCGCUAGUAAUCGUAGAUCAGAAUGCUACGGUGAAUACGUUCCCGGGCCUUGUACACACCGCCCGUCACACCAUGGGAGUGGGUUGCAAAAGAAGUAGGUAGCUUAACCUUCGGGAGGGCGCUUACCACUUUGUGAUUCAUGACUGGGGUGAAGUCGUAACAAGGUAACCGUAGGGGAACCUGCGGUUGGAUCACCUCCUU